rnacentral:rRNA from 1 species
CUAGCCGUAAACGAUGGAUACUAGGCGUUGUGAGUAUCGACCCUCACAGUGUCGUAGCUAACGCGUUAAGUAUCCCGCCUGGGGAGUACGCGCGCAAGCGCGAAACUCAAAGGAAUUGACGGGGGCCCGCACAGGCGGUGGAGUAUGUGGUUUAAUUCGAUGCAGCGCGAAGAACCUUACCAGGACUUGACAUGUCGCGAAUCUCAGGGAAACUUGAGAGUGCCUUCGGGAGCGCGAACACAGGUGGUGC